rnacentral:lncRNA from 1 species
GGUGUAAUCAAUGUGGAAAGACUAAGGAAGAAAAACACAAAGCCAAAUUCAUAACUGUCCUGAAGCCUUAAACUGCUCACAGGGGAAACCAUUACCCAAGAUUACAAGAACCCAGGGUGCUGAUUACAUCUCAUGGCACUCCAGAUAGAACCCUCAUUUUAGGGUCCUGUGGGAGCAAAUGGCACAGCCCAGACGACAGAGAUGGCUGACCAGGCACAAACCAAGGCAGCUGCACCAUUGUUUCACCCUGGUGCCUCGGUGAGUCAAGUUCCUACAUAGGAUAAGUCCCCAUUCCCUUUUUCUUUCUCUCUCUCUAUUUUUCUUGCCCUAUUCUCUCUCUUUCUCUUUGCUCCUAUGUUUGGUGAUCUCUCUUGAUGUCUAUACUGGAAGAUUACAAGAACCCAGGGCACUGAUAACAACUUCAACUGAAAUGGACAGAGUGAGGGCAAGAUAAAUGAAGGCUAUCAGACUCCCAAAAUUCUACAUGCAGAAAAAAAGGCUGAUAAAACUACUCAGCUAAAAACACAUUGUACCUUUCAAGAAAAAGAAAAGAUGAUUCCAAGAGUGGAGCUUCAGGCCCAGAGAAUGUAGCCAGAAGUCACAAAAGACUAUUUCCAGGCCUUGCAGCUUAACAGUUUUCCCAGUUUGAAGGAUUUGUUAUUUUGGGGACUGAUGAUUCAUUUUUUCCUUCCAUUUUCUCCUUUUUGGAAUGGGAAUACGGUUGAUCCUUGAACAACAUAGGGUUGAACUGCACGUGUCCACUUGUAUGCAGAUUUUUUUUCAACCAAAUGGGGAUUGAAAAUACAGUAUUCUUGGGAUGCGAAACCCACCUAUACGGAGAGCUAAUUUUCAUAUACACGGGUUCUGCAGGACCUACUGUGGAACUUAAGUAUGCUAGGAUUUUGGUGUAUACAGGGGGCCUGGAACCAAUCCCCUGCAUAUACUGAAAGACAACUAUUAGUAACUAGUAUCUUAUGUCGGUCACAUCAUUGUAUUUUGGGAGAAAAUAACUUAUUUUCUAGUUUUACAGGUCCACAGAUGGAGAGUUUUUCCCCAGGAUGAAUCAUACCCAGGAUCUCACUAAUACUGAAAUUAGAUGGUUAAGAUAAUAAGAUUUGGGACUUUUAAGCUGAUAAGAUUUAGGUAAUACAUGUGACUUUGAAUUGAUUCUAUAAUGAAUUGAGACUGUGGAGUAUAUUGGGAUGGGGUGUAUGUAUUGUGCAUAUAGAAUGGAUAUAAACCUUUGGGGCCAAAGGGAAGACUAGCAGGCUAAUGGUUCCCCAAGCAUGUCCACAUCCUAAUCCCUGAAACCUGUCAAUAUGUAGCCUUAUGUGGCAAAAGGCACACACUUUACAGAUGUGAUUAAAUGAAGGAUCUCAAGAUGGGGAGAUCAUCUUAGGUAACCCAAUGUAAUCACAAAGGUCCUUAUAAGAGAGAAGCAGGAUGGUUAAAGACAGAGAUGUAAAGUGGAAGAAGAGGAGCCACAGAGUGGGAGCAACCCCUGGAAGAUAGAAAAGGCAAGAAAACUGAUUAAUCCUGAGAGCCUCCAGAUGGAAUGCUGCUGUGCUAACACCUUGAUUUUAGCCCACUGAAACUGAUUUUAGACUUGUCUACUCUAGAACUGGAAGAGAAUAAAUUUGUGUUGCUCUAAGUCACUAAAUUUGUGGUAAUUCGUUACAACAGCAGUAGGAAACAAACUCAGGAACCAACAUGAGCAUGAAGCAUAUGUGGCCUGCUGUGCUGUAAUGAAGAUUUUUGUCUCUGACCCAAGACUCUUGUGUCUUCUGGCAGCAUCCAUGAGACUAUGGCAAGCUGAUUUGCAGAAGGGGCAAAAUCUUGGACCAUUCACAGUUCUUAACAUUUAGUUCAUAAAAAUGAUGAUAUAGUCAUGGGUAUUUGUCUGACGUUUAAGUAUCUUUCAAUCUUCUGAUCAAUAAAUCUACUUCUAAAUAAGAUACCACUUAAGUAGCUGUGAACUUUAAUAAU